rnacentral:rRNA from 1 species
UACGUAGGGGGCAAGCGUUGUCCGGAUUUAUUGGGCGUAAAGAGCGUGUAGGCGGCCUGAAAGGUCAGCUGUGAAAACUCGAGGCUCAACCUCGAGACGUCGGUUGAAACCAUCUGGCUAGAGUCCGGAAGAGGAGAGUGGAAUUCCCGGUGUAGCGGUGAAAUGCGCAGAUAUCGGGAAGAACACCCGUGGCGAAGGCGGCUCUCUGGGACGGUACUGACGCUGAGACGCGAAAGCGGUGGGGAGCGAACAGG